GAUGAACGCUAGCGGCAGGCCUAACACAUGCAAGUCGAGGGGCAGCACAGGUAGCAAUACUGGGUGGCGACCGGCGGAUGGGUGCGUAACGCGUAUGCAACCUACCAUUGAUUGGGGCAUAGCCCGAAGAAAUUCGGAUUAAUACUCCAUAAUAUUCAUCAAAGGCAUCUUUUAUGAAUUAAAGCUUUUGCGAUCAAUGAUGGGCAUGCGUGACAUUAGUUAGUUGGUGAGGUAACGGCUCACCAAAACGAUGAUGUCUAGGGGUUCUGAGAGGAUUAUCCCCCAACUGGUACUGAGACACGGACCAGACUCCUACGGGAGGCAGCAGUGAGGAAUAUUGGUCAAUGGACGCAAGUCUGAACCAGCCAUGCCGCGUGCAGGAUGACGGCCCUAUGGGUUGUAAACUGCUUUUCCACGGGAAGAACCCUCCGACGUGUCGGAGACUGACGGUACCGUGGGAAUAAGCAUCGGCUAACUCCGUG
rnacentral:rRNA from 1 species